rnacentral:lncRNA from 1 species
AUCUUGUCAGCAAUAGUUCUAGCAAUCCUCGGAACAGCUGGCUUCACAUGCUCAGAUCCAGCAGCCUCUUUCUUCCCCUUAGAAGAAGUUAAGUCAAUCACGAGCCUCCCAGUAGCCUAUGCACCCUCACGAGCAGCAAACGAAGUCUUUGACCUUUUCUUCACCGACGACUCUCGAGCAGGCGACAAAGAUCUCUUUCUCCCACCUUUACUUGCAACAGGCUUCAUGGUAGUGAUCGAACGAGCGAACGCCUCACCUUUGAUCCUCUUAAUCUCCUACUGCGAGGGCAGCCUAUCUUUCUCUCUACCAUAAAGACUGAGCAGCCAAGGCUAUUCGUAGUAUUCAGCAGGGAUCCCUAAA